rnacentral:rRNA from 1 species
GACGAACGCUGGCGGCGUGGAUAAGACAUGCAAGUCGAACGGGACUUAAUCUGUAGCAAUACAGGUUAAGUUUAGUGGCGAACGGGUGCGUAACACGUGGGCAAUCUGCCGAGAAGUGGGGGAUAGCUCGCCGAAAGGCGAAUUAAUACCGCAUAUGAUCAGGGACGACAUCUUCCCAACAUCAAAGCCGGGGCAACCUGGCGCUUCUUGAGGAGCCCGCGGCCUAUCAGCUAGUUGGUGAGGUAACGGCUCACCAAGGCUAUGACGGGUAGCUGGUCUGAGAGGAUGAUCAGCCACACUGGGACUGAGACACGGCCCAGACUCCUACGGGAGGCAGCAGUGGGGAAUAUUGGACAAUGGGCGCAAGCCUGAUCCAGCCAUGCCGCGUGAGUGACGAAGGUCUUCGGAUUGUAAAACUCUUUUGGCGGGGACGAUAAUGACGGUACCCGCAGAAUAAGCCCCGGCUAACUUCGUGCCAGCAGCCGCCGCCGU